rnacentral:rRNA from 1 species
UACGUAGGGUGCGAGCGUUAAUCGGAAUUACUGGGCGUAAAGCGUGCGCAGGCGGUUUUGUAAGCCAGAUGUGAAAGCCCCGGGCUUAACCUGGGAAUGGCAUUUGGGACUGCAAGGCUUGAGUGCGGCAGAGGAGACUGGAAUUCCUGGUGUAGCAGUGAAAUGCGUAGAUAUCAGGAGGAAUACCGAUGGCGAAGGCAGGUCUCUGGGCUGACACUGACGCUCAUGCACGAAGGCGUGGGGAGCAAACAGG